UACCGUGAAACUGCGAAUGGCUCAUUAAAUCAGUUAUCGUUUAUUUGAUAGUACCUUACUACUUGGAUAACCGUGGUAAUUCUAGAGCUAAUACAUGCUAAAAACCCCGACUUCGGGAGGGGUGUAUUUAUUAGAUAAAAAACCAAUGCCCUUCGGGGCUCUUUGGUGAUUCAUAAUAACUUAACGGAUCGCAUGGCCUUGCGCCGGCGACGGUUCAUUCAAAUUUCUGCCCUAUCAACUUUCGAUGGUAAGGUAUUGGCUUACCAUGGUUUCAACGGGUAACGGGGAAUUAGGGUUCGAUUCCGGAGAGGGAGCCUGAGAAACGGCUACCACAUCCAAGGAAGGCAGCAGGCGCGCAAAUUACCCAAUCCCGACACGGGGAGGUAGUGACAAUAAAUACUGAUACAGGGCUCUUUUGGGUCUUGUAAUUGGAAUGAGUACAAUUUAAACCCCUUAACGAGGAACAAUUGGAGGGCAAGUCUGGUGCCAGCAGCCGCGGUAAUUCCAGCUCCAAUAGCGUAUAUUAAAGUUGUUGCAGUUAAAAAGCUCGUAGUUGAAACUUGGGCCUGGCUGGCCGGUCCGCCUCACCGCGUGUACUGGUCCGGCCGGGCCUUUCCUUCUGGAGAGCCUCAUGCCCUUCACUGGGUGUGUUGGGGAACCAGGACUUUUACUUUGAAAAAAUUAGAGUGUUCAAAGCAGGCCUUUGCUCGAAUACGUUAGCAUGGAAUAAUAGAAUAGGACGUGCGAUCCUAUUUUGUUGGUUUCUAGGACCGCCGUAAUGAUUAAUAGGGAUAGUCGGGGGCAUCAGUAUUCAAUUGUCAGAGGUGAAAUUCUUGGAUUUAUUGAAGACUAACUACUGCGAAAGCAUUUGCCAAGGAUGUUUUCAUUAAUCAGUGAACGAAAGUUAGGGGAUCGAAGACGAUCAGAUACCGUCGUAGUCUUAACCGUAAACUAUGCCGACUAGGGAUCGGGCGAUGUUAUUAUUUUGACUCGCUCGGCA
rnacentral:rRNA from 1 species